ensembl:lncRNA
UAAAUUGCCAAGGUUUAUUCUAAAUUAGUCCACAAGAACAAAACUUAAUUUUUAACCCCAUGCAGUAUAGUCAGUGAUGUAAUAAUUCUAUCCUGCAAUGAGGAGUUCCUGAAAUAAACUAGUUACAUUUACAUUUGCAGUGACAUCAGUGUUUAAAGGUAAUCAGGAAAGCAAUCAACACUGGAGAAGUUGGAAGUUGUCAUGUGCAGAGUGCUGAAGAUGAGGUUUGAUAGAUUCUCAGCUCCACAAUCUGGAAAAUGGAUAUCUUAAGUCCAUGUUGAAGUACAGACAGUCAAUCAGGUCUCCUGCUGAGAAUGUAAGAGUAAGAGACUCUCUUCAGAAGUGACCAAUGGAGGAUAUUUAGGAAAAGAGAAUAAAAAAUUGCUGAAAAGCAGCUUUUGUCCUGUUAUAGCAGUCUGGCUGUUGAUAAUGACUGAUGUAAAAACUUUGUCUCAGAAAGGCUGUAUCUGGGCAUUCUGUUCAGUAGCCACCAAAGAACCUGUUCCUCAAAUGUGCCUUAAGUACUUCCUUGAACCAUUUGGUUUUGACUUUUGCAACUUCACCAGGCUGUGUUCAGAUCAGUAUUCUGUGGCUGAUCUGUGCCCAAAUUCUUUGUGCAUUUUUAAUGAGUUACUGCAAAAAUCUGUGAUCAAAGGAGAAAGUGGGAGAUUGCAUAAGUCUUUGUAG